rnacentral:rRNA from 1 species
UACGAAGGGGGCUAGCGUUGUUCGGAAUUACUGGGCGUAAAGCGCGUGUAGGCGGGUCUUUAAGUCAGGGGUGAAAUGCCAAGGCUCAACCUUGGAACUGCCUUUGAUACUGGAGAUCUUGAGUCCGGGAGAGGUGAGUGGAACUGCGAGUGUAGAGGUGAAAUUCGUAGAUAUUCGCAAGAACACCAGUGGCGAAGGCGGCUCACUGGCCCGGAACUGACGCUGAGACGCGAAAGCGUGGGGAGCAAACA